UGAGAUGACCUUAAUCCUUUCCUCGGCUCGGCCCAUUCGAAUAAUAAAGGGCUGCACAAUGCACACCGAGCAGCAAAAUAUCAAUACAUCCAGCCAACUACCAGUCAGAUUCGGACAUUUAAUCCACUAUUAAUUUGCUCUCUCUCUCUCUCGCCCCCAAUCUCCACUCUCCACCUUAUUCUUUUAAUUUCCAGAAACAUCGUCUCCAGAACCCUCCUUUUUUGCAUCAAAAUCUUCAAAACUCAAUUGGGUUUCAAUCAAAAUCCAAUCUUUGAGAUCAUAUUUUUGUGGGUUUUGGUUUGACUUGAUAGAUAGAUUGAUGAUGGUGUUGCAGUUGUUGUUAACAGUUGCCUUCUCUGCGGUGCCUCUGACUCUGUACGUUCCUCCAGUCAGAAGCCUAAACCCCUUCGUGGAGACCAUGGAGGAACUCUUCUCCGAAUCAAGAAAUCACACCAAUAGGGUAUACCCACGUGUCCGACAUCUUUGGUUGAGGAUCUUGGAUUGUUUACUUUGCAGCAGAACCACAAGGUUUUGUAGCCAAGGACAAAAUACAAACAGAACAAAACAAAAAGGGGAGGAUGUGAGGUGGCCAGGUGGGUUAUGAUCUCUUUCUGGAUUAGGUUGAGAAGGUUUGGCGGUUUGUCAUUGUUGGUUUAUGGUUGCCAUCUAUAUUAACUUUGGUUGCUAAAAAAAUAAGAACAAGACUUGGCUAUUGAAGAAUCAGCAAACCCUCCUGCAUAAAGCUUAUCACAACUUGGACACGUGUUGUGCUGUAAUAGGCUUUCAGUAAGAGGGGCUGCUGAUUCUUCAGCAGCGAAGUUAAAUCCAAAAAAUAAUAGAAGGUGAAAAAGAAACGAAAGGGAGCCUUAACAAAUCAUGCCAAUGGUUCUGCAAGCAUUGGCCAUGUGGUCUUAAAACUUAUAAGCUUGUAAUGUAACGGAGUUUGCAACGUUUUCGCCUUCUCUUUUAUUUCUAAAAAUUUUACUACACCAUAAUGUGUUGUACAUCAAAUUAUUCAAACUUUUCAAUGUGACGGAUGUAUCUGUCAUUCUUAUGGAUUACAAUGAUAAUCACUGUUAAAUCUUA